UACGUAGGGGACGAGCGUUAUCCGGAGUUACUGGGCGUAAAGGGUCCGCAGGCGGUUCAUCGCGUUUUGGGUGACAAUCCUCGGCUUACCUGAGGAGGGGCUCGAAAAACGGGUGGACUUGAGGGCCAGAGAGGGACACGGAAUUCCGGGUGGAGCGGUGAAAUGCGUAGAGAUCCGGAAGAACACCAACGGCGCAGGCAGUGUCCUGGCUGGCCACUGACGCUCAGGGACGAAAGCGAGGGGAGCGAACAGG
rnacentral:rRNA from 1 species